ACAUGCAAGUCGAGCGGACAGAUGGGAGCAAGCUCCCUGAUGAUAGCGGCGGACGGGUGAGUAACACGUGCGUAACCUCCCAGUAAGACUGGGAUAACUCCCCGAAACCGGCGCUUUUACCGGAUGCAAGUUUGAACCCCAUGGUUCAAACAUAAAAGGUGGCUUCGGCUACCACAAACAGAUCGACCCGCGGCGCAUUAGCUAGAUGGUGAGGUAAUGGCUCACCAAGCCAACGAUGGGAAGCCGACCUGUGAGGGUGAUCGGCCACACCGGGACUGAGACACGGCCCAGACUCCUACGGGAGGCACCAGUAGGGAAUCUUCCGCAAUGGACGAAAGUCUGACGGAGCUACGCGGCGUGAUUGAUGAAGGAAUACGGAUCGUAAAGCUCUGUUGUUAGGGAAGAACAAGAACCGUUCGAUUACGGCGGUACCUUGACGGUACCUAACCAGAAAGCCUCGGCUAACUACGUGCCAGCAGCGGCGGUAAUACGUAGGUGGCAAGCGUUGUCCGGAAUUAUUGGGCGUAAAGGGCUCGCAGGCCCUUUCUUAAGUCUGAAGUGAAAGCCCCCGGCUCAACCGGGGAGGGUCAUUGGAAAAUGGGGAACUUGAGUGCAGAAGAGGAGAGUGGAAUUCCACGUGUAGCGGUGAAAUGCGUAAAGAUGUGGAGGAACACCAGUGGCGCCGGCGACUCUCUCGUCUGUAACUGACGCUGAGGAGCGAAAGCGUGCCGAGCGAACAGGAUUAGAUACCCUCCUAGUCCACGCCGUAAACGAUGAAUGAUAACUGUAAGGGGGUUUCCGCCCCUUAGUGCUGCAGCUAACGCACUAAGCACUCGGGCCCGCGAGUACGGCCGCAAGACGGAAACUCCCACGGAAUUGACACGGAGCCCGC
rnacentral:rRNA from 1 species